UAACCUGCCUGGUAGCGGGGGAUAACUAUUGGAAACGAUAGCUGAUACCGCAUAACAGUAGAUGUUGCAUGACAUUUGCUUAAAAGGUGCAAUUGCAUCACUACCAGAUGGACCUGCGUUGUAUUAGCUAGUUGGUGGGGUAACGGCUCACCAAGGCGACGAUACAUAGCCGACCUGAGAGGGUGAUCGGCCACACUGGGACUGAGACACGGCCCAG
rnacentral:rRNA from 1 species